rnacentral:rRNA from 1 species
GACGAACGCUGGCGGCGUGCUUAACACAUGCAAGUCGAACGGAAAGGCCCUGCUUUUGUGGGGUGCUCGAGUGGCGAACGGGUGAGUAACACGUGAGUAACCUGCCCUUGACUUUGGGAUAACUUCAGGAAACUGGGGCUAAUACCAGAUAGGAGCUCCUGCUGCAUGGUGGGGGUUGGAAAGUUUCGGCGGUUGGGGAUGGACUCGCGGCUUAUCAGCUUGUUGGUGGGGUAGUGGCUUACCAAGGCUUUGACGGGUAGCCGGCCUGAGAGGGUGACCGGCCACAUUGGGACUUAGAUACGGCCCAGACUCCUACGGGAGGCAGCAGUGGGGAAUAUUGCACAAUGGGCGGAAGCCUGAUGCAGCAACGCCGCGUGCGGGAUGACGGCCUUCGGGUUGUAAACCGCUUUCGCCUGUGACGAAGCGUGAGUGACGGUAAUGGGUAAAGAAGCACCGGCUAACUACGUG